GAUGAAGAACGCAGCGAAAUGCGAUACGUAAUGUGAAUUGCAAAUUCAGUGAAUCAUCGAGUCUUUGAACGCACAUUGCGCCCCCUGGUAUUCCGGGGGGCAUGCCUGUCCGAGCGUCAUUGCUGCCCUCAAGCACGGCUUGUGUGUUGGGCCCCGUCCUCCGAUCCCGGGGGACGGGCCCGAAAGGCAGCGGCGGCACCGCGUCCGGUCCUCGAGCGUAUGGGGCUUUGUCACCCGCUCUGUAGGCCCGGCCGGCGCCUGCCGAUCAACCCAAAUUUUUAUCCAGGUUGACCUCGGAUCAGGUAGGGAUACCCGCUGAACUUAAGCAUAUCAAUAAGCGGAGGA
rnacentral:misc_RNA from 1 species